rnacentral:lncRNA from 1 species
GAAGGCAGAGCCCAGUGAGGCCAGGCCGGGAGCAGGACAGAGGAGGACAGAGAGGGGAUUGCGGGGCACAGGUGGAGGCGCAGAAGCAAGCCCCAGGUGGCUUCAGCCCCGGCUGCUGCUCCCAGGGCCUCAGGAAGAGCCCCUGACAUUCCUGCGUGUUCCAGAAGCAGACGUGAGGACCCCGAGCGGCUCAGCCCGUGGCUGGGAGCGGCCCCCGAGGAGGCCAGGCCUUGGCCUUGUCAGGAGUGCAGUGAUGGAUUUGCGAGCACAGAAGGGGGCAGGCCAUAGGUCACAGGGCCCCUGGGGGCUGCAGACAUCCUCAGGGCCUUAGGUGGCCAGACAGCUCGCAGGCCUGUUGCAAAGACUUCAAUGAGCAGUCACCACAGUUACCACUCAUUGUGCACCUACCAUGUGCCACAGGCUAUUUCGGACGCUAAAUAUUUUUUUAUAAGUUCUUUAUAAAGAGGCCCAGGGCACCUGUCACACAGCACGUGGCUGCUCCCCUUCCCAGAGAUGUUUUAUGCCACCAAGAAGAACCCCUGACAGCCUGCCCUGGCCUGGACCAUCACCCCACGCCCCGCACCUGGACAGAGGCCGUGCUGGCCUGCAAGGGGCCCCACUUCCCAGGAGACGCCCGGUUCCUGCUGCCUCCCCCCACCCGGCCUGCACUGGCAGAGCCCCGCCGGGCGCCCAGCCUGCCCACCUCUGCAUCCCAGGCCGCCCGCCCCGUGGCGUGGUUCCCGCUGGGCCAGCAUAGCUGCCGUUUCUGAGGGCAGCGUGGACUCUGGAGGAUCAUUUACAGAUGCGGAGGGCGAGAUAAGGCUCUCGCCACUGCCUGUUUGUGUGCCCUCUGUGGUCCUGAGAGAUGGCACCGCCAGGGGCUGUGCUGCCACCCCGCACCCCCACUCUCCCUUUCUGCCUAUCUUUUAUUGUCCACUCUUAUCUUCCUCCCUCCCCACGCCCCACCCUGGUGCAGAUCCCCAAGACCAUAACCUUCUUCCAACGGCUGCAGGCUUUUCCUGACCUUCUGCCCCAGGCACGGAAGGACACUGACUGGCGCAAUGCAAUGCGUCAGGCUGCAGACCCUACCUGCGGGUCCACACGCUUCCUGUGGCGUCUCCUGAUCGCACACGCAGGCGCCGAGAACCCAGGAGAGGCAGGAGCUGCCUGGAGCCCCCGUGCAGUGGCGUCACCUGCUCCUCACCUCCCCUGACCUGCUGAGCUGCUCUCCACCCCAUGCUCAUAGCCACAGUGAACCGGCGUGCGGCACCAACCAAACCCUGUCCCAUGCUCCAAAGAGGUAAAAACUGGGUGCAGAGAAGUUGAGGAAUCCCUGCGGUCCCCAGCAGUCACCGGCAGAAUGGACACCGCCACAUCUGUUCUCUCUCACCCACGGACCUCACGGUCUCCAAGAGAAGCCAUCCCCGGUGUGUCAGGAAGGAGGGCUCGGCUUCCAGUGUUGUCACCGUGUGGGUGGGUCAUGUGCUGAGCCACUCGGACGUUGGUGUCUGCGCCUGGAAGACGAGGG